GCUGCAACUCGCCUGCAUGAAGUCGGAAUUGCUAGUAAUCGCAGAUCAGCAUGCUGCGGUGAAUACGUUCCCGGGCCUUGUACACACCGCCCGUCACACCAUGGGAGUCGGUAACACCCGAAGUCGGUAGCCUAACCGUAAGGAGGGCGCCGCCGAAGGUGGGAUUGAUGACUGGGGUGAAGUCGUAACAAGGUAGC
rnacentral:rRNA from 1 species